ACCUCCUGUGCCUACUGAGCUGAUAACAGUUUGAUAUAAUGAGCACUGGCUCAGUUCAGCAGGAACCGGAGU
rnacentral:pre_miRNA from 1 species